AGUGAACGCUGGCGGUAGGCCUAACACAUGCCAGUCGAACGGCAGCACAGUAAGAGCUUGCUCUUACGGGUGGCGAGUGGCGGACGGGUGAGGAAUACAUCGGAAUCUACUUUUUCGUGGGGGAUAACGUAGGGAAACUUACGCUAAUACCGCAUACGACCUACGGGUGAAAGCAGGGGAUCUUCGGACCUUGCGCGAUUGAAUGAGCCGAUGUCGGAUUAGCUAGUUGGCGGGGUAAAGGCCCACCAAGGCGACGAUCCGUAGCUGGUCUGAGAGGAUGAUCAGCCACACUGGAACUGAGACACGGUCCAGACCCCUACGGGAGGCAGCAGUGGGGAAUAUUGGACAAUGGGCGCAAGCCUGAUACAGCCAUACCGCGUGGGUGAAGAAGGCCUUCGGGUUGUAAAGCCCUUUUGUUGGGAAAGAAAAGCAGCAGGUUAAUACCCCGCUGUUCUGACGGUACCCAAAGAAUAAGCACCGGCUAACUUCGUG
rnacentral:rRNA from 1 species